rnacentral:lncRNA from 1 species
ACGCCUUUGAUGAAGGACUGGACCCACUGCUGGAUUACUUGUCAAGUACUGAAAGCUUGAACUUCAGAGGAGUGAAACACAGGGGAGAACCCACCUCUCAAGUCCCAAAGGCCGGCCGCUAUGUUUGCCCUGUGCAGAAGAUAAAAAGCACAAGAAACAGAGAGCAGACCAGCUCCAGUGUGGGCUCAAGGUGAAGGACAGCUAGGGGGUGGGGGGGGGGGUUCUUACAAGAAUGUGCGUGCAGCUGAGACAUCUGUGUCAAGGGCAUCCCUUGAACAAUCUGACCCCUGAGACAACACCAGGCAGAGAGAGAGGAGCAGCUCAAACACUGCAGUGUAUCUGAUACACCAUGAACAGGGGACAGUCUAUGGAAAGUCACACAGGGUCCUGGCUCCGGGGUUGUGCUGGGUUGAUAAGGGAUGCUGUAGGUCUGAAAACCUAUUCAGUACCAGUAUGGAGCAGCAUACUGCAGCAGUGAUGUUAAUGAUUAGCUCCCAGUAAGAACAGGGAUGACUCCAGCCAGUGAUGGCAGCUCUGGGGGCUCUGAUCCUCCAGACUUCUCAUUUGAGAAGCUUACGUGGAGCCAUGGUGUUAAAAUUUCCCCUGUGGAGUUCUGUCCACUGGAGAGGUGCAUAUGUACAGUUGGGGAGGUCGUGGGCUGCAAGAUCAAGUCCGUUUCUUGCAUGAGUGGAGGGAUAGUUGUUUUCCUACAGUCUACUGAUCUGGCAAACACCCCGGUGGAGAAGGGGGUUGUCUUGAACGGUACCUUCUUCCUGGUGCUGCCCUCUCCAAUGUGCCUCCGUUUAUAUGGAACGAGCUGCUGGAGAGGAAGCUGUCCCUGUACAGACAGGUGGUCUCUCUGAUGUCCCUCUGGGCUGCAGGGCACCACAGCUAAAGCAAAUCAUGUCUUUCUGAAGACAAGUGUACGUGAUCUUGGUGGAAAAAAACCCUGGAAGUGAUCAAUGUGGCACUUAAAUUUUGAAUUGACAACUGUGAUUAUGUGGUAUUCGCUACUUCGGAAUUGAUGAAGUGCUUCAGGUGCGGGAGCGAGGGGAACAUGGUGAAGAACUGCCCGGAGAUGGAGGAUGAAACGAGCAGGUACCCUCAGUCCCAGGGUGCACUGGAGGUCAGGCAGGCAGAGGGGAGCGGAGCAGCGCAGGGAGGCAGCGGGGAGACAGCCCACAGGCGGUUUGCAGGAGAAGAGAUUGCUGGAGGUGUCCCACACAGGAGAAUAGGUAGGAGAGAUUGGACUGCCACAGCCCACAGAAGAACAGGGAACCCCCCACCCCCACCUCCACCCCACACCGGGGAGUAAGACACGAGUGCUAGCGGAGCAGGGGAGCUGCAGAGCCCCACUGCUCAGGAGAGUCAGGGUGAGAGGGAUCAGGCAGUGACAUCAACUGAGGAAGACUCAUCUCAUUUGCCAGUGAAAAC